rfam:Triticum aestivum genome assembly, contig: Triticum_aestivum_CS42_TGACv1_scaffold_129524_2BL
AUGAUACUCCCUCCGUCCGGAAAUAGUUGUCAUCAAAAUGAAUAAAAGUGGAUGUAUCUUAAACUAAAAUACAUCUAAAUACAUCCCCUUUUAUUUAUCUUGAUGACGAGUAUUUUCGGACGGAGGGAGUAGCAA